GACGAACGCUGGCGGCGUGCUUAACACAUGCAAGUCGAACGGAAAGGCCCUGCUUUUGUGGGGUGCUCGAGUGGCGAACGGGUGAGUAACACGUGAGUAACCUGCCCUUGACUUUGGGAUAACUUCAGGAAACUGGGGCUAAUACCGGAUAGGAGCUCCUGCUGCAUGGUGGGGGUUGGAAAGUUUCGGCGGUUGGGGAUGGACUCGCGGCUUAUCGGCUUGUUGGUGGGGUAGUGGCUUACCAAGGCUUUGACGGGUAGCCGGCCUGAGGGGGUGACCGGCCACAUUGGGACUGAGAUACGGCCCAGACUCCUACGGGAGGCAGCAGUGGGGAAUAUUGCACAAUGGGCGGAAGCCUGAUGCAGCAACGCCGCGUGCGGGAUGACGGCCUUCGGGUUGUAAACCGCUUUCGCCUGUGACGAAGCGUGAGUGACGGUAAUGGGUAAAGAAGCACCGGCUAACUACGUG
rnacentral:rRNA from 1 species